rnacentral:rRNA from 1 species
UACGUAGGGUGCAAGCGUUGUCCGGAAUUAUUGGGCGUAAAGAGCUCGUAGGCGGUUUGUCGCGUCUGCUGUGAAAACUCGGGGCUUAACCCCGGGCCUGCAGUGGGUACGGGCAGACUAGAGUGCGGUAGGGGAGACUGGAAUUCCUGGUGUAGCGGUGAAAUGCGCAGAUAUCAGGAAGAACACCGGUGGCGAAGGCGGCUCUCUGGGCCUUACCUGACGCUGAGGAGCGAAAGCGUGGGUAGCGAACAGG